CUGUCCUUCGUGUUUGCAGAAGAGGUAUAAGCAGUGGUGUAGCGCACUUCCCACAUAUUUCAACACCUUCCAAUGCACUCCACAGUCCUUCCCCCUUGGCCAUAGCUGUCCUUCUGUGUUUGCAGAAAGGUAUAAGCAGUGUAGCUUCCCACAUAUUUCACACCUAAACAGAUCGUGGAAAAAAUAUCAAAGGGGUAUGACCACAGGGAAGUGCAAGGAAGUGGGUCCAGGAAGUGGGUCAAGGAAGUGGGUCCAGGAAGUGGGUCAAGGAACUUGAGACUGGCUACUUUUUCUGCCCCCCCCCCUUAAAAAAAACAUUCAGCGUCCGACUGAAACUCACCAUCACUCCUCAGUCAUAUUCUGUGAGGCGCUGAAUUGUCUGGCUCUCCUUACAACCAAGGAAAGACAGAGCUGACUUGUCGGCCCAUAGGGUAGUGCACUAUAUAGGGAAUAAGGUUGAAUUUGGCACAGAGGCUUGGCCUUCAUCACGUCUCCUUCUACAGCCACCGUCUUUGUUACGAUUCUUAGGCUCCUGGUAUGAAGCACCGCCAGGGUUGAAGCCAUCGACCUUCACCAGGCCCCAACUCAACCAUCACAAACAACAAUAAGCCAGUACAUUAAACAUAUCAUCCUCUCUUAUAAAACACAGCAUCGUUCAAACUCUAACUGAAAUGUAUACUCUCGAAUUGUGAAAAUACUAUUAGAUUGGUCCUGUAUCUUAACAUUCCUUUAUUACAAUCAACCUUCACAAACAACAACAGAGUCGAACGAAUAUCGUUAGGGACACUACGUUAUUUUAUAAUGAGUUAAACCUGGAGAAAAUCAGACCUCUCUGCAAUGAAAAUGGAUGAACCUCCCUUCAGUUAAACAUUUAUAUAUAACAAGUGACCCUCCCCUAUACCCAAAAUAAUAAUUAAAACAUAAAGUGAAUAGCAGAGAAUAUGCCUACCGUCUACUCUUACUACAGUAGAACAGACCAGUGCCUUAGAUAUACAGUUUCAGAAACUGUCCCUAGUUUUGUUAGCAUUACAUGACAAAGUAGUCAGAAGGCUGUGGAUUCGCAGACUGCCGUGGACCAGGGGAGGGGUGAAAAGAUAUUCUUUAUAAUAAAAGCACUGCAUGUGAAUCUAUCAUCUUAUUUGAUGAUCUCUCCCUCUGUCAUAAAUAAUGAAGGAAAAGUCAAUAGGAGUCAUUCGGAUUUAUAGGGGAGAGAGCAAAGAAAAGUAUAUUCAAUUCAAUGCAUCACGUUAUUAAUUACGAGUGAACAGCACGAUCAUCAAUAUUCAAUUCAAUGCAUCACGUUAUUAAUUACGAGUGAACAGCACGAUCAUCAAUAUUCAAUUCAAUGCAUCACGUUAUUAAUUAUGAGUGAACAGCACGAUCAUCAAUAUUCAUCAUCCAGGCCCCCCCCUAUAGUUUUAUUUGUUAUGAUAUUAAUUAGAAUUAAAUACGAGAGACAUAGAAGAUAUUAAUUAUAUUUAUUUCACUC
rnacentral:lncRNA from 1 species